UUCCAAGCCUGCUAAUGCUGGUCUGGCUGC
rnacentral:piRNA from 1 species